AACGAACGCUGGCGGCGUGCUUAACACAUGCAAGUCGAACGGUGACGGAGAGCUUGCUCUCCUGAUCAGUGGCGAACGGGUGAGUAACACGUGGGCAACCUGCCCCAGACUUCGGGAUAACGCUUCGAAAGAGGUGCUAAUACCGAAUACGAACGCCGUGGGCAUCCACGGUGUUGGAAAGUUUUUCGGUCUGGGAUGGGCCCGCGGCCUAUCAGCUUGUUGGUGAGGUAAUGGCUCACCAAGGCGACGACGGGUAGCCGGCCUGAGAGGGCGACCGGCCACACUGGGACUGAGACACGGCCCAGACUCCUACGGGAGGCAGCAGUGGGGUAUAUUGCGCAAUGGGCGAAAGCCUGACGCAGCAACGCCGCGUGGGGGAUGAAGGCCUUCGGGUUGUAAACCUCUUUCAGCAGGGAAGAAGCGAAAGUGACGGUACCUGCAGAAGAAGCACCGGCUAACUACGUGCCAGCAGCCGCCGUAAAAC
rnacentral:rRNA from 1 species